rnacentral:lncRNA from 1 species
UAGGUUCAUGAGCAUCACCUAUGUGGAAAAGACCCCAAACUCCUCUUCAGAUGUGCAUGAUGCAGAGGUGCACGUGCCACAGCCUUCCCCAUAAGAAGUCAGAAGACCACUCUGGAGCCCGUGCUCAUGCCAUCUUCAUCCGGGUUACAAGGAUUUCACUUAGGUGGCCAGAUUUGCAUGGAGAGGGGCAUCUAGCUUGCUUCCAGUUUCUGGCUAUUACAAAUAAUGCUGCUAUGAAUACAGUUGAACAGAUGUCCUUGUUGCAUGAAUGUGUUUCUUUUGGGUAUAUUCCUAAGAGUAGAAUUGCUGGAUCUCGUGGUAGAUUGAUCCCUAUUUUCCCGAGGAACCACCAUACUGAUUUCCAAAGUGGUCUUACAAGUUUGCACUCCCACCAGCAGUGAGGAGUGUUCCCCUUUCUCUACAUCCUCUCCAGCAUAAACGGUCAUUGGUGUUUUUUUGUUUUUGUUUUUGUUUUUUGCCAUUCUGAUAGGUGUAAGAUGGUAUGAAUUGUUUUGAUUUGCAUUUCCCUGAUGGCUAAGGAUGUUGAGUACUUUUUUGUGUCUUUCAGCCAUUUUAGAUUCCUCUAUUGAGAACCGUCUAUUUAGUUCUGUACUCCACUUUUUAAAUGGAUUAGUUGGUGUUUUGGAGACUAGCUUCUUGAGUUCUUUGUAUAUUUUGGAAAUCAGCCCUCUAUCAGACUCGGGGUUGGUGAAUAUCUUUUCCCAGUCUGUGGGCUGUGUCCUUUGCCUUAUAGAAGCUUCUCAGUUUCAGGAGGUCCCAUUUAUUAAUUGUCGAUCUCAGUGUCUGUGCUACCGUGUUAUGUUCAGGAAGUGGUCUCCCGUACCAAUUGUUCCAGGGUACCACCUACCUUCUCUUCUAAGAGGUUCAGUGUGGCUGGAUUUAUGUUGAGAUCUUUGAUCCAUUUGGACUUAAGUUUUGUGCAUGGUGAUACAUAUGGGUCUAUCUGCAGUCUUCUACACACCAGAAUCCAAUUAUGCCAGUACCAUUUGUUGAAGAGGCUUUCUUUUUUCCAUUAUAUAAUUUUAGCUUCAUCAAAAAUCAGGUGUUCAUGGAGGUGGGCCUAGGCCCUAUCCCAAAGGUCAUGAUAGACUCUGGUAACACCCUAUGGAAGGCCUCACCACCCAGGGGGAGCAGAAAGGGUAUGUGAUAUGUAGGGUUUUAGUUGGG